GUAUCACUGUGGUACACGUUUGGUGGAGGAACCAGACUGGAUGUUGGAAGUGAUGUGCGCCCCGCCCUGAAGGUGCUGGGUCCCUCCAGUGAGGAGCUGCAGCAGGGGAAGGCCACGCUCAUGUGUCUGGCCAACAAGGGCUUCCCCUCAGACUGGAGGCUGUCCUGGAAGAUGGACGGCAGCAGUGGCAGCAUCAGAGGGGAGGAGAGCAGGACUCCCGCAGUGCUGCACAAUGACGGCCGCUACAGCUGGAGCAGCACCCUGACACUCACUGCAGACCAGUGGGGGAAGGUGGGCUCUGUGACCUGUGAGGCCACCCAGGGCUCCCAGGCUCUGGUCUCAGAGACACUGAGGAGAGACCAGUGUUCCCAGUCCUGAUGUGACUCACUGGGACUCUGAUCCUGCUUUUCUUCAGCUACUGCUCUCUGUGUGCUCCAACUCUCUCUGUCUCUUUCUUUCUUUUUCUUCUCACAUUAAAAGAAAAAAAAUCAAAUCAUAAUAUUUUCCAUCUCAUAAGGA